rnacentral:rRNA from 1 species
AACGAACGCUGGCGGCAGGCUUAACACAUGCAAGUCGAGCGCCCCGCAAGGGGAGCGGCAGACGGGUGAGUAACGCGUGGGAACGUACCUUUUGGUUCGGAACAACUCCGGGAAACUGGAGCUAAUACCGGAUAAGCCCUAACGGGGAAAGAUUUAUCGCCGAAAGAUCGGCCCGCGUCUGAUUAGCUAGUUGGUGAGGUAACGGCUCACCAAGGCGACGAUCAGUAGCUGGUCUGAGAGGAUGAUCAGCCACACUGGGACUGAGACACGGCCCAGACUCCUACGGGAGGCAGCAGUGGGGAAUAUUGGACAAUGGGCGCAAGCCUGAACCAGCCAUGCCGCGUGAGUGAUGAAGGCCUUAGGGUUGUAAAGCUCUUUUGUCCGGGAAGAUAAUGACUGUACCGGAAGAAUAAGCCCCGGCUAACUUCGUG